CCUACGGGAGGCAGCAGUGAGGAAUAUUGGUCAAUGGACGAGAGUCUGAACCAGCCAAGUAGCGUGAAGGAUGACUGCCCUAUGGGUUGUAAACUUCUUUUAUAAGGGAAUAAAACGAGGCACGUGUGCCUUUUUGCAUGUACUUUAUGAAUAAGGAUCGGCUAACUCCGAGCCAGCAGCCGCGGUAAUACGGAGGAUCCGAGCGUUAUCCGGAUUUAUUGGGUUUAAAGGGAGCGUAGAUGGGUUGUUAAGUCAGUUGUGAAAGUUUGCGGCUCAACCGUAAAAUUGCAAUUGAUACUGGCAGUCUUGAGUACAGUUGAGGCAGGCGGAAUUCGUGGUGUAGCGGUGAAAUGCUUAGAUAUCACGAAGAACCCCGAUUGCGAAGGCAGCUUACUAAACUGUGACUGACAUUGAGGCUCGAAAGUGUGGGGAUCAAACAGGAUUAGAUACCCGAGUAGUC
rnacentral:rRNA from 1 species